rnacentral:rRNA from 1 species
UACGUAGGUGGCAAGCGUUGUUCGGAAUUAUUGGGCGUAAAGAGCGUGUAGGCGGUCCGGUAAGUCAGCUGCGAAAGUCAAGGGCUCAACCCUUGAAAGCCGGUUGAUACUGUCGGGCUAGAGUCCGGAAGAGGCGAGUGGAAUUCCCGGUGUAGCGGUAAAAUGCGUAGAUAUACUGGAGGAACACCGGUGGCGAAGGCGGCAUCCUGGACCGGUAUUGACACUGAGGAGCGAAAGCCAGGGGAGCAAACGGG